rnacentral:rRNA from 1 species
UACGUAGGUGGCGAGCGUUGUCCGGAUUUACUGGGCGUAAAGGGCGUGCAGGCGGUUUGUUAAGUGCAGGGUGAAAUCCCUCGGCUUAACCGGGGAACUGCAUCUGAUACUGGAUGGCUUGAGUUCGGGAGAGGGAUGCGGAAUUCCAGGUGUAGCGGUGAAAUGCGUAGAUAUCUGGAGGAACACCGGUGGCGAAGGCGGCAUCCUGGACUGACACUGACGCUGAGGAGCGAAAGCCAGGGGAGCAAACGGG